rnacentral:rRNA from 1 species
UACAGAGGGUGCGAGCGUUUGUCCGGAAUCACUGGGCGUAAAGCGCACGUAGGCGGAUCGUUAAGUCAGGGGUGAAAUCCUGGAGCUCAACUCCAGAACUGCCUUUGAUACUGGCGACCUUGAGUUCGGGAGAGGUGAGUGGAACUGCGAGUGUAGAGGUGAAAUUCGUAGAUAUUCGCAAGAACACCAGUGGCGAAGGCGGCUCACUGGCCCGAUACUGACGCUGAGGUGCGAAAGCGUGGGGAGCAAACAGG